UACGUAGGCAGCAAGCGUUGUUCGGAGUUACUGGGCGUAAAGGGUGCGUAGGUGGGUUGGUAAGUCAGUGGUGAAAUCUCCAGGCUUAACUUGGAAACUGCCAUUGAUACUAUCAAUCUUGAAUACCGUGGAGGUCAGCGGAAUAUGUCAUGUAGCGGUGAAAUGCUUAGAUAUGACAUAGAACACCAAUUGCGAAGGCAGCUGGCUACACGAAUAUUGACACUGAUGCACGAAAGCGUGGGGAUCAAACAGG
rnacentral:rRNA from 1 species